rnacentral:rRNA from 1 species
GACGAACGCUGGCGGCGUGCCUAAUACAUGCAAGUAGGACGCCGUUGCGAACGGGUGAGUGACGCGUAGGUAAAUCCAUCUUAGAGGGGGGUAACUAUUGGAAAAGAUAGCUAAUACCGCAUCAUAGUAGAUGGACCUGCGUUGUAUUAGCUAGUAGGUAGGGUAAUGGCCUACCGAGGCAACCAUACAUAGCCGACCUGGAAGGGGUAUUGGCCACAACUGGAACGAGACAAGGCCCAGACUCCUACGGGAGGCAGCAGGAGGGAAUCUUCGGCAAUGGGGGGAACCCUUACCGAGCAACGCCGCGGGAGUGAAGAAGGUUUUCGGAGCGGAAAGCUCUGUUGUUAAGGAAGCGGUACUUAACCAGAAAGGGACGGCUAACUACGUGCCAGCAGCCGCGGUAAUAC